rfam:Triticum aestivum genome assembly, contig: Triticum_aestivum_CS42_TGACv1_scaffold_578120_7BL
CACGUAUUCCCUCCGUUCGGAAAUACUUGUCAUCAAAAUGGACAAAAAAGGAUGUAUCUAAAACUAAAAUGCAUCUAGAUACGUCCCCUUUUAUUCAUUUUGAUGACAAGUAUUUUCGGACGGAGGGAGUACAUC